GGAUUAGAUACCCUGGUAGUCCACGCCGUAAACGAUGAGCACUAGAUUUGGGGAAUGUUAGCGUUCUCCGAUUCGUAGCUAACGCAUUAAGUGCUCCGCCUGGGGAGUACGGUCGCAAGACUAAAACUCAAAGGAAUUGACGGGGGCCCGCACAAGCGGUGGAUUAUGUGGUUUAAUUCGAAGCAACGCGCAAAACCUUACCAGGGCUUGAAAUCCUGAGAAGACCGGUGAAAGUCGGUUGUGCCCUUUGGGGAAUUCAGUGACAGGCGCUGCAUGGCUGUCGUCAGCUCGUGCCG
rnacentral:rRNA from 1 species